GCCUGGAUAGCUCAGUUGGUUAGAGCGUGGCGCUGAUAACAGCAAGGUUGCAGGUUCAAUCCCCGUUUGGGACA
rnacentral:tRNA from 1 species